UACGUAGGGUGCGAGCGUUAAUCGGAAUUACUGGGCGUAAAGUGUGCGCAGGCGGCAGAGCAAGUCGAGUGUGAAAGCCCCGGGCUUAACUUGGGAAUUGCGCUCGAAACUACUUUGCUGGAGUGUGGCAGAGGGAAGUGGAAUUCCACGUGUAGCGGUGGAAAUGCGUAGAGAUGUGGAGGAACACCAAUGGCGAAAGGCAGGCCUCUC
rnacentral:rRNA from 1 species